AUUUCUAUAGAAAGUGGGGCUAGAUCGAGAGUUCUGACCUUUUCGUGGGUGAUCUUCAAACUCUUGUUUUUCUAGCGAAAGAAGGCCCUUCUGAGCGAUGAUCUCCUACAAGCGAGUAUAGUAAGGUUGACUUCAAUUGAGACAGAAAUGUCACUCUUAGCGUGACAAUAAACCCUCACUGCUUGCUUCCCCACUAAAACCUACUAUGUGAAAAGGAUUAGUUCCC
rnacentral:lncRNA from 1 species